rnacentral:tRNA from 1 species
GGGGGUGUAGCUCAGUGGUUAGAGCAGCGGGCUCAUAACCUGUUGGUCGAAAGUUCAAUUCUUUCCACCCCCACCA